GACCCUUGGCAGCGGGCACGGCCCCACCCUGCUCAGCUGGGCUUCGCUCUUUGAUGUGUGUGUGUGUUGGGGGGGAGCACGGAGCCCACGGGCUGCCCUGCCUGCUCCUCAUGCACACGGGGUCCUCUGUGCUGCCAGGGUCAGCCCGGCUGCCCUGCCGGGGGCGGGGCCAGAGCCCAGGGAGGAGGUCUUGCCCUUGGGGGGGGCAGCGGAGACACCGAGGGGCCUGUCUGGGCCACACGUGCAGCUGUUGACCUGUAGAGCCGUGGCCAGCACCCCGCCGUGGCCGGCGUCAGGCCCUGCCCGCUGCCCGGGCUGCCGGGCCCGCGGGGGCUGGGCCGUGGCAUGGGGACCGAGGGUGAACCCCACGUUCUCCGCCCCUCCUGCAGCACUUCUGGCUGCUGGUCCUGUCCCGGGGCCUGGUGGGCAUCGGUGAGGCCAGCUACUCCACCAUCGCCCCCACCAUCAUCGGCGACCUGUUCACCAAGAACACACGUACGCUCAUGCUGUCCGUCUUCUACUUCGCCAUUCCGCUGGGCAGCGGCCUGGGCUACAUCACGGGCUCCAGCGUCAAGCAGGCGGCCGGAGACUGGCACUGGGCCCUGCGGGUAAGGACACCCCGGACCAGCCCUUGCCCCGGGUCCCCCACACACUCGGACGGGGCCUCGGCCUCCAGGUCCCCCGAGAUUAGUGCCCUGUGGCGUCAGGGGCCCGCGCGGACAGGACGAGGGACGCCCUCCCACGUGUCAGGACAUUCCCGGUCUGCGAUGGCAUGUCCUGCUGGAGCCUGGCCCUGUGUUAGGGGGAGGCCGAGACGCGACCUCGGCGUGGGGGCCCCUGGGGUCUGGAGCCCCUUCCUGUCCUAAGGGAGGAUUCAGGCAAGUCUGCCAAGGCCCCAGGACAGUGCAAUCAGAGGAAACAGAGAUCCCCAGUCUCGCGGAGGAGCGGAAGCUUAAGACAAAGUGUUUUUUCCUCAAAAGCAGGAAGGAAGCAGCCUCCGUGGAAUUUCUUGAUGGGGGGCAUAGAGAGGAACUCCCCC
rnacentral:lncRNA from 1 species